rnacentral:rRNA from 1 species
GCGGUAAUACGGAGGAUGCAAGCGUUAUCCGGAUUCAUUGGGUUUAAAGGGUGCGCAGGCGGAAUAAUAAGUCAGCGGUGAAAGCCUACAGCUUAACUGUAGAACUGCCAUUGAUACUGUUAUUCUUGAGUGUUGUUGAGGUAGGCGGAAUGUGUCAUGUAGCGGUGAAAUGCUUAGAUAUGACACAGAACACCGAUCGCGAAGGCAGCUUACCAAGCAACAACUGACGCUCAUGCACGAAAGCGUGGGGAUCAAACAGGAUUAGAUACCCUGGUAGUCCACGCCGUAAACGAUGAUCACUCGAUGUUGGCGAUACACAGUCAGCGUCUUAGCGAAAGUAUUAAGUGAUCCACCUGGGGAGUACGGUCGCAAGAUUGAAACUCAAAGGAAUUGACGGGGGCCCGCACAAGCGGAGGAGCAUGUGGUUUAAUUCGAUGAUACGCGAGGAACCUUACCUGGGCUCGAACGUGGAAUGACAGUCGCGGAAACGUGAUCUUCUUCGGACAUUCUACGAGGUGCUGCAUGGUUGUCGUCAGCUCGUGCCGUGAGGUGUCGGGUUAAGUCCCAUAACGAGCGCAACCCCUAUCUUUAGUUGCCAUCAGGUAAUGCUGGGGACUCUAAAGAAACUGCCUACGCAAGUAGUGAGGAAGGCGGGGAUGACGUCAAAUCAGCACGGCCCUUACGUCCAGGGCUACACACGUGCUACAAUGGCCGGUACAGAGGGCAGCUACCUGGUGACAGGAUGCAAAUCUCCAAAGCCGGUCUCAGUUCGGAUCGAAGUCUGAAACUCGACUUCGUGAAGUUGGAUUCGCUAGUAAUCGCGCAUCAGCCAUGGCGCGGUGAAUACGUUCCCGGGCCUUGUACACACCGCCCGUCAAGCCAUGGAAGCUUGGGGUACCUGAAGUCCGUGAGCGCAAGCAGCGGCCUAGGGUAAAACAGGUAACUAGGGCUAAGUCGUAACAAGGUAGCCGUACCGGAAGGUGCGGCUG